rnacentral:rRNA from 1 species
ACGGUCCUAAGGUAGCGAAAUUCCUUGUCGGGUAAGUUCCGACCUGCACGAAUGGCGUAACGACUUCCCCACUGUCUCGACCAGGAGCUCGGCGAAAUUGCAGUACGAGUAAAGAUGCUCGUUAAGCGCAGAAGGACGAAAAGACCCCGGGACCUUUACUAUACCUUGGUAUUGGCGUUAGGCGCGGAUUGUGUAGCAUAGGCGGGAGGCUUCGAAGCAUGGGCGCCAGCCCGUGUGGAGCCGCAAGGUGAAAUACCGCUCUGUUCUCGUUUGACGUCUAACCUCGAACAGUCAUCCUGUUCAGGGACAGUGCCUGGCGGGUAGUUUAACUGGGGCGGUUGCCUCCCAAAGAGUAACGGAGGCGCUCAAAGGUCCGCUCAGCCCGGUUGGCAAUCGGGUUUCGAGUGUAAUCGCACAAGCGGGCUUGACUGCGAGAACGACGGUUCGGGCAGGGACGAAAGUCGGAGAUAGUGAUCCGGUGCCGGCGCACGGGCGCGGCAUCGCUCAACGGAUAAAAGGUACCCCGGGGAUAACAGGCUGAUCAUUCCCAAGAGUCCAUAUCGACGGGAUGGUUUGGCACCUCGAUGUCGGCUCGUCGCAUCCUGGGGCUGGAGCAGGUCCCAAGGGUUCGGCUGUUCGCCGAUUAAAGCGGCACGCGAGCUGGGUUCAGAACGUCGUGAGACAGUUUGGUCUCUAUCCUCUGCGCUCGUUGGAAUCCUGAGGAGGCCUGCCCAUAGUACGAGAGGACCUGGGUGGACGGACCUCUGGUAUGCCGGUUGUCGCGCCAGCGGCAUGGCCGGUUGGCUACGUUCGGGAGGGAUAACCGCUGAAAGCAUCUAAGCGGGAAGCCUGCUCCAAGAUUAGGAUUCCUUGGCGCUCCCCGGAGCGCCUGUAGCCCGCAUGUUGAACACGUGUUCGAUAGGCCGGAGGUGGAAGCCCCGCGAGGGGUGGAGCCGACCGGUACUAACGGGCGAACGCGGCACUU